UGGUCCCCCAAGGCCCUGCAGUGUCCCAGUGGAUCCUUGGUUCCAUGAGCCAGGUGCCACUUCAGAACAGCUAUGAGCCCCUGGAUCUAGAGAGUCAACCGCAUGAUUUAGAAGAAAAUUAUCUGCCCAGUGAGCCUCCCAAAUUAUGAUUCAUGUCUGAGAAGGAUUACCACCUGUAACAUCAAAAAGGAAAGAAGUAUAA